ensembl:lncRNA
ACAGUUGUUGACAGUGGUUAGAUUUGGUAAUGAGACACCAUUUAUUGGGCCUGAAGGACAGUUGUUGACAGUGGUUAGAUUUGGUAAUGAGACACCAUUUAUUGGGCCUGAAGGACAGUUGUUGACAGUGGUUAGAUUUGGUAAUGAGACACCAUUUAUUGGGCCUGAAGGAUACAAAAAUAUACAGAUAAUAAACAUGAUCCAUGUGAAAAGCAGCAUGUACUGUAGAUGUUAGAUAAUGAAUGUUUUCACACCUUAAUUACAGUACAUAAGAUUGUAACAGUGUAUACUAUUGUUUGUGCGCAUAAUCGACCAGCAUAAAUGCUUUUAUUCAACUUUAAAGCACAAUUCUGCAGGGCAUAUUACCUUUCAAAUAACUUCACUAGGUUAUAUCCAAAUGAAAAUAAGACUGAUAAAACAAGUUACCAUUGAACUGCCAUAAUUAAUUCACAAUGUUUCCCUUCGCAUAACUUGGAAACAAGGAAUGUAGGAAUGUUGCAGGCUACUGUCUACCUGCUUCUGCAAUCAAUGUAUAUGAUCAAAUGUACUUUAAACUAGGGUUAACUUUUUCUUCUUCCACUCAAACUCGAUAUGAGUUUAAAGGUUACGGUAUGAUUCAAAUUCGAAAAAGAUCCCGCAUAUAUUAGGAUGAAAUUCUGUGACGUUUUAGGUGUUCGGCAGCGUUCGGCAGGGUUUUCCCCCUGGGCUGUUCAUCACACAUGUUUUUCUUGAGGCUUGUCAAAGUUCUGUAGCCAAAGUCUACGCCCCUUCGUCUGUGAUUGGUCAACAAUAGGGGAUCUGCAAUGAAGUGCUUGUUGUCAUUCAACGAGAGAUGACUAGUUUUCAUGCAGAUGUUUAGAAAUACUGCACCAAAAAUCUUAGAUGUAAAUUUGCGCAACUAAGACCUCCUCAGAAAAAACGCAAAGUUAUUUACAGAUUAAUUGAGAGUAUUUUGAGGAAGUGAGUGUACGGACUAUGGCGUCUCAAGAGGUACAAACAGUAAUAUUUCCACUUCUUUCUAAUUUUUCAAAUUAGGUCAUUUUAAGGGAGUAUGCGAGCACAGACGUUCACUUCGUCUGGCCGAGUUCUGCUAGGAGCAAACCGAACCUUUGUAUGCGGACGCCUUUAGUGCGUAAACUCCAACUGAUCUCUAAAAUAUAUUUAAAGGAGACACAGCUGAAAAUAGUUACUUGAUGUAUGGUCGAGAGAGAUAGCUGAGCUUUCGUCUGGGGAGUAAACCUGGAAGGCCUUAAGAGUAAAAUUGGGAAAAUAAGCACUUUUACACAAGUGGGUCUGGGGUCUUGCCAGUCGGAGAAGAAUGCUCUGUGGAAGGACUCUGCGUAGGUGUCUCCAUGUGUUCCUGGCGUGGUCAUGAAGUGUACGUAAUCAGCCAGCACCGCCCCCCUCGCCACUGGUUCUGCCACACUGGCAAACUUCCCCCCUGUCAGGGCCUGUGCCACCCUCAGGGAGCAGAUGGC